rnacentral:rRNA from 1 species
GAUGAACGCUGGCGGCGUGCUUAACACAUGCCAGUCGAACGGAAAGGCCCAAGCUUGCUUGGGUACUCGAGUGGCGAACGGGUGAGUAACACGUGGGUGAUCUGCCCUGCACUUCGGGAUAAGCCUGGGAAACUGGGUCUAAUACCGGAUAGGACGAUGGUUUGGAUGCCAUUGUGGAAAGUUUUUUCGGUGUGGGAUGAGCUCGCGGCCUAUCAGCUUGUUGGUGGGGUAAUGGCCUACCAAGGCGUCGACGGGUAGCCGGCCUGAGAGGGUGUACGGCCACAUUGGGACUGAGAUACGGCCCAGACUCCUACGGGAGGCAGCAGUGGGGAAUAUUGCACAAUGGGCGCAAGCCUGAUGCAGCGACGCCGCGUGGGGGAUGACGGCCUUCGGGUUGUAAACUCCUUUCGCUAGGGACGAAGCGUUUUUGUGACGGUACCUGGAGAAGAAGCACCGGCUAACUACGUG